AAGCAUUCCAGUCCGAGGCACAAAAGGAUUGUUUCCCUUUCGAAAUAUUUUUCAAUGCAACGUCGGAGCAGAAUGAAGUGGUGUGGAAGAAGACUUUGACUGGCUGGCCAUGUCCUUCGCAUGGAGAACGGUCGGAUCCCAAGGACAGCAGUGAGAAGGAUGCCUCCUGAUGCCAAACGACAGUGAGGACGACCCCCCCCCCCCACCUGGAGGAGAACAUUUGACCUGAAGGGAACUUAUGAAUCAGGAGAGAUUGGACAUGGACAUCUAGAAGGACACAACCGUCAGCACUGACCUGCCAAGCUGCCACUGAAAAUGAUUAAAUAUUGCUUUCCUCUAAUGUUCCUCCGUCUUGCUGAGUAUCACAGACACACCCAAAGCAGAAUGGUAAAAACAACUGCCCCGUUAAGUCCCACACAUAUUUCAUGUGCUCAAAAUUCAUUUUAGCCACAUUUCACUUGCAAAAGACACGCUCUCGAGCAGUGGUUCCCUCCCGGCCUUUCAUGCCUUAUGUCCCACUAACCACCAUCAAAGAACCAUGGUGGAGGGUGCAUCAAGCUACAUGAUUUAUGGCGACCCCUAGUGGGGUUUUCAAGGCAAGAGACUAACAGAGGUGGUUUGCCAUUGCCUGCCCUUGCAUCAUGACCAUGGACUUCCUUGGAGAUCUCCCAUCCAAAUACUUGCCACGACCGACCCAACGUAACAGAAACAAAAUGCCCACUUUUCCCAUGAAGAACAUUUGUAUGUUUACUGUCAUUACAUUUAUCAUUAAAUGAAGUUUUUAAGGACAUAGCAAAAGUUGUAGAAGAAAAAGAGUUUGGCUCUCUCAACGGAUAAUCCCUGACAAGCAGAGUCCGAAGGAAAUGGCCUAUUGAAGACACUUGCUGAAAGGCAGGGAGAACAGGGGAUGAAGAGAAACGCUGCAUGGCAAAGGUUACUACUUGCAUGUCAAAAAGUUCACAGAGUUGGCACAUCAUGCUUGAGAGGUGGAAAUGGAGAUUGAAGAACAAAGUCCUAGUCAUUGUUAUGAAAACCCUGCACCCCACCUAACAAAUUGAAAGCCACUGCUCUAGAGAGCUGCACGAUACAGGCUUUCUUCUGCUAAAACAGGCUUGAUUGAGAGACAUUUCAGUACAACUCAACUGGUAGGAUCCAGGCUAAAUUUUCCACUAUCAGUGGCGGAGAUGUAAUUACAACCCACAAUUUCUGAGCUGUUUGGACACAGGGAAGAGGCUGAAGCCUGUGAGCUUAAGAGCAACCCUGUCAGUGGUCCAAUUGGCCAUGCUGGCAGGGGCUGAUGGGAUAUGUAGCCAAGAACAUCUGGAGAGCUGCAGGUUGCAGACCCCUGAUUCUAGUCCAGUAUCCAGUGGCCAGUUGCUUGCCCUGGAGGGCCAACAAA